rnacentral:rRNA from 1 species
AUACGUAGGUGGCAAGCGUUGUCCGGAAUUAUUGGGCGUAAAGCGCGCGCAGGCGGUCCUUUAAGUCUGAUGUGAAAGCCCACGGCUCAACCGUGGAGGGUCAUUGGAAACUGGGGGACUUGAGUGCAGAAGAGGAAAGUGGAAUUCCAAGUGUAGCGGUGAAAUGCGUAGAGAUUUGGAGGAACACCAGUGGCGAAGGCGACUUUCUGGUCUGUAACGGACGCUGAGGCGCGAAAGCGUGGGGAGCAAACAGGAUUAGAUACCCGGGUAGUCCACGCCGUAAACGAUGAGUGCUAAGUGUUAGGGGGUUUCCGCCCCUUAGUGCUGCAGCUAACGCAUUAAGCACUCCGCCUGGGGAGUACGGUCGCAAGACUGAAACUCAAAUGAAUUGACGGGG